rnacentral:rRNA from 1 species
GAUGAACGCUGGCGGCGUGCCUAAUACAUGCAAGUAGAACGCUGAAGGAGGAGCUUGCUCUUCUGGAUGAGUUGCGAACGGGUGAGUAACGCGUAGGUAACCUGCCUGGUAGCGGGGGAUAACUAUUGGAAACGAUAGCUAAUACCGCAUGACAACAGUUAUUGCAUGAUAACUGUUUAAAAGGGGCAACUGCUCCACUACCAGAUGGACCUGCGUUGUAUUAGCUAGUUGGUGAGGUAACGGCUCACCAAGGCGACGAUACAUAGCCGACCUGAGAGGGGGAUCGGCCACACUGGGACUGAGACACGGCCCAGACUCCUACGGGAGGCAGCAGUAGGGAAUCUUCGGCAAUGGACGGAAGUCUGACCGAGCAACGCCGCGGGAGUGAAGAAGGUUGUCGGAUCGUAAAGCUCUGUUGUAAGAGAAGAACGAGUGUGAGAGUGGAAAGUUCACACUGUGACGGUAGCUUACCAGAAAGGGACGGCUAACUACGUG